GGAUGUGAGUGGGAGUAUUCUCCCAUACAUGAAAAUCUUUAAAGACUCCUUUGUCUUCUCUUACAGUGAACCUCUGAUACUGCUGGUUUCCAAUAAAAGAAUUUUAAAUGUAUAUUGAGGUGGGACAGGCAUGGAGGUCUAAAGACACAUGGUGAAAUACACAGUGCUUCUGAAAUCUGCUGGUGAAUGAAGGGUGGUGUGAACCAUGGCCUGCAAGCUGCAGUAAAGUCUAGAGACUGAGCCAGCGAGGGUGGCAGUGCAGCUAAACUUGGAGUGCAGAGCCUUGUUCCUAAUGCCCUGACAACAGGACUUUCAAGGUGAGCGUGCACAGUGUUAUAUAACACCACAUGAACGUAGUUCAAAGGCAGUGUGUGUUCUGCACUGCACUGGAAAUGUUGCAUCCCCAGGCUUGGAUAGGUCUGUGACCCAAGG